CUUCCUUCCCUUCCCUUCCCCCUUCCUUCCCUCUAGAGGACCUCUUCCAAGAUUAAAGCCAUUCUUAAGAGCAACCGCUAUCCUCUGUGGCUGACUGGCCCAGGACUAUACAGAAAGGUGCCAGCAGAAUUGUGAACCCAAGUGAGUAAUGGACAGCAGUGGUUACAUUUGGACAUGCUCUUUGCUGGACCAGUAGAUUGUUCUUCAAAUGAAAAAAAGCUUUGUGCAGUCCUCAUCGAGUCUGCUCUGGAGUAAGGCCCUCUGAUUUUCAUCAUGAACCGGCACAACGAAGUUGGCAGCUCCGUGGGGCAAGAGUUCCUCUCUCCCUUCUUUAUUUGCUCAGUGAUUAAGACAGGACAAAGUCCCCACCCCUUCCCCUCCCGCCAGGCAAAGGUGCUUUACUGCGUCGUCCCUCCACCUUCCUAAUGACUUCUGAUGGCAGGAUUGUGUCCUCAGGGCUACUGCAAGAGAAAUGAGAUGGAUCCCUCCUGAGAAACCCCAGAAGAAGCCUCACCGGAUGUGUACAAAGACCUAACUCACAUUGCAAAUGGGGCUUUUUCAUGUUCUGUAGACCACUGUUUGCUUGGCUAAUUCUUAUUCAACAAGUGACCUCAGAAAAUAUGAUAAAUAAUCUAGGUCUUCUUUUCACUCAGCUUUGGUUUCUAGGUAGACUCCUCCACCUGAAUGGCAAGGAGAUAUCUGGAAAAGAUACAGACCUUUAGAUGUUGAGCUAAAUGGGAAGGAAAUACUAUGUCUAUACUGUUAAUGUUGUUUGGAAAUGUAAAAAACCUGGCCAACCUGGCCAUCCAUAAACAUCUGCUAAACAAUGUGUGGAUGAUGAUGGCGAUUUAGAUUAAACAUUUAUAAUAAAACA